rnacentral:lncRNA from 1 species
UCCAGGAACACAGGCGGCCAGGGAGGUGGAGCCCACACCUCAACACACAACUACCCGUGAAGAACGUGGAGCGAUCCGUGUAGAUCCUUGUAGAAGGUUCUCUCAGAGGGCCAUGUCACUGACCUGUCAGUCAGCCCACAGCCUCCUCCCAGUCCCCAGAUAGCUGACCACUCCCUCCUUGAAAUUCUCUCCUCUCUCAGCUUGUGCAACACCAACCUCCGGUGGCAGGAAAAACUAUUAUUAUUCUCUUGUGAAAAUUAAAACUUAACCAUCAACAUAGAGCUGUUACUGGUUUGAAGGAAGCCAUUGACGCUGUGUCAAAGGCUAGAGCAGAAAACAGUGGCAUGCAGUGUCAAAGGUCAAAGUCAACACUUCUCGGACUGGCACAGGGAAGGUCUUUUGCUCCACGUGAUAUUGACUAUGAUCAUCUGGAGGGUCCGUGGUUCCAGUGACUUAGCAUCAAAGACGGCCUAACACACACGUCUGGUGCCUCUGCUGGGAUGGCUGAAGCAGCCGGAGGCUGGCCAGCUACUCAGGAGGCGGAGGCAAAGGAUCGCUUGAACCCAG